UUAUUUCUUCGCUGAAAUGUCGCAGGACGCCUGACAAUAAAAUAAAAUAAUUUAGGUCCCAGUUUAUGGGUUAUUAUCGGGUUAAAGACCGGUCCCGUUACAUUGCGACCCAUGAAACAUAUUUUUUGGGAAACAUAUCUUAUCUAGAUCUUUAUUCCUAGUUGAAGCCAUUGCACAAAAAUAUGUUUUGGUGUUAUCACGUAUAUCAGUGGCCCCGGAGUGGACAUUCAUCUCUUAGCUGUCGGCCUCUGUCUCCACGUGCACUAUCUCUCCUAUCUCAGCUGCUACUCGAACAUGGCCAGUGUCCUUCUGGACGCCGAAGCUGAUCGAUGACGGUGUCGGUUUCAAUUUUUCAUUCAGACCACCUAUCAAUUAAUAAAUUGAGAGGGAAAAAGGGAAAUCGGACCGAUGACCGGGGAAAUCUACGUUUGGAAGAGCGUCCUUUAUGGCGGAAGUCUUUAAAAUCUAGCUUUGUGUAUGAUUUAUGUGCGUGUAGUGAAGGACUUUAUGGACGAGGAAAUGGAUUUGUUGUCGGGACUUGGCAAUUUACUUAUGGCCUAGAUGUCAGCAUGCGUUGGGAUUAAAAUACAAUCUUUCAAUUAGUUAUUGAGAAACAAUACCAGUUUUGUGAUUAAUGAAUAAACUACACUGAAUUUUAA